rnacentral:rRNA from 1 species
UACGGGGGGGAGCAAGCGUUGUUCGGAUUUACUGGGCGUAAAGCGCGCGCAGGCGGUCUUCCAAGUCAGUGGUGAAAGCCCGGAGCUCAACUCCGGAACUGCCAUUGAAACUGUUAGACUUGAGGAUGAGAGAGGUGAGUGGAAUUCCCAGUGUAGAGGUGAAAUUCGUAGAUAUUAGGAAGAACACCGGUGGCGAAGGCGGCCCACUGGUCCGGUACUGACGCUGAGGUGCGAAAGCGUGGGGAGCAAACAGG